UUUUUUUAUUUUAUUUUAUUUUUGGGAAAUUUCCUCCCAUUUCAAGUUAAACCGACCCUCUCCUUGGAAAAGCAAUGCUGAUGGUCCAUAUGAAGAUUGACAAGAAAGGGCAUCAUAGAUGGAAUUUUCCUCUCAUUGUUCUUUUCUUUCUUUACCAGGACUAACUUAAUUUCUAGGGGUAUCAGGGGGUAUUUGGUACAAGAUGAGUAAAAGGCAAUUAUAAGAAUGAUAUUUUGUAACUUUUAUUCCUUUAUUAAUUUUACUAGCGGAAUAUCACGG
rnacentral:misc_RNA from 1 species